AACGAACGCUGGCGGCAGGCCUAACACAUGCAAGUCGAGCGGACAUCUUCGGAUGUUAGCGGCGGACGGGUGAGUAACGCGUGGGAACGUGCCCUUUGCUUCGGAAUAGCCUCGGGAAACUGGGAGUAAUACCGGAUGUACCCUUUGGGGGAAAGAUUUAUCGGCAAAGGAUCGGCCCGCGUUGGAUUAGGUAGUUGGUGGGGUAAUGGCCUACCAAGCCGACGAUCCAUAGCUGGUUUGAGAGGAUGAGCAGCCACACUGGGACUGAGACACGGCCCAGACUCCUACGGGAGGCAGCGGUGGGGAAUCUUAGACAAUGGGGGAAACCCUGAUCGAGCCAUGCCGCGUGAGCGAUGAAGGCCUUAGGGUUGUAAAGCUCUUUCACCGGGGAAGAUAAUGACGGUACCCGGAGAAGAAGCCCCGGCUAACUCCGUG
rnacentral:rRNA from 1 species